UGCCACGCCGAAAUCGCGUGUUUCGCUCAGGACGCCACAGUGUUUUAACACAGUACACCGUUAAAUGCAAGAUUUGUUCUUAUUUUUUUUUUUUUAUUGAUGUUCUAAUAAAAAUGUUUAAUCGUUCAAUGGGGCACUUUUUAUUUCAAAGUAUCUUCUACUUAUCGGUUAUGUUCGAAAUGCCCUAACUGUCAAUUUUCGUUUAGUGUUUACAAUUGUAAGACGUCGAGCGCUCCGGUCACCGUGGCGGUCAAAGUGAUCAACGAAUACGCGAAACGCGAACCUUAGCGACGAAAUUAUCGUUACAAAGGAUACUACGUUUUCUAUGCUUGAAAUUCGAUUCGAACUUAUCGAUCGUAGGAUAAAUUCGAGACGCUUCGGGAACGAGCGACGGCCGAUAAUUACUUUGUAUAGCUAGCAAAAAGGGUCGCUGGUACACGAUCGUGUGGUACGAGAAUUCUGCGUCCAGAUGUAUAACUCGUAACUUUAAAGCCUGUGUAUAUAGCACGAACUGCCGACAAGGGAAGUGAAGUCUCCUAAUAUCGCAUCGCCUACAAUAUUAACACUUGCGUGACCGCUCGCCUACGGACGCGAAAUUUCGCCAGUGGCAAUUUCCCAUGAGUUUCUAGUUAAGCGACCGUUCGACCGCGUUACGUCGAUUUAACUAGCGAAAAUAACUUCGAUCGAGAGGAAAUACAGAGAUUGUCGCUUACUCGUGUCUUUUCUUCUCCAUAGACGAUUCGAUGAGAAUAUAUUUUACUAGCUACUCCGACCAUGAAGCUAUCGCGUAAAAUGCCGAGUAUAACGUUUCAUUUAAAUCACAGUUAUCGCUGCUGCUUAACGCAUCGUCGAACGAUCGGCGGAAUAUUCACGUUGGACGCGUACACGUCGAUUGAAAUUCUCGUGGUAGUGUCGUUGGUUACGCGAAACGAACAAAAUUACGGUGUCUCCAUCUUCAUUCGACUAGGAGAAUACGCGAUAACGUUUUUACGCCAGACGAAUCGGGUGACGAUGCGUUGACGAUCGGCGAUUCUCUUCGCGAAAAUCGCUAGCGGUCACGAAAGCGUGGAUGUCGCGUGUGCGAUUACUUUCGUUGUAAAUACGUCUAAAAUCAGCGCAGACGAUGUAAUUCGUGUUUGUCGUUAUCGAAGAGCGUAUUCUAGUUACGUAAAUUACGCGUGAUACCUAACCAAUCGAAGAGAUCCGAAUGGUCGAGAAAGGUGGAAAGAAACGAAAAGGGAAUCGUUCAAACGAAACGAUCGUCGACUGUGAUCGACCCAUCCUCGGUCGAUUAUCUGCAAACACGAUUCCGCAAACCUGCCUCGGAUCGUUGAACGUAGCGCGUCAUUUUUUCCGAUGCUUUCGCUGUACGAUGAAUUCCGUAAGAGCGCGUGUAGCUUAUACAUCGUACGAAUAGAACGCGUCGUUCGAUUGCGUUGCAAGGACGAUCUUAUUUAUAAUACUUUGUAUGUAGGACAUCAGGUGGAACGUGCGCCAUUAAAUUGCAACCAAGUUAUUGGAUUACUUUAUGCAUAAUCGAAGCGGGCGCAUUGCCUUUGAGCAUUCACUUUGAAGGACUAAUUGUAAUAUCGAUCGUCGCGAAUUAAUAAACUGCGCUGCGGCGAAAUAAUUCGAUAGUAGGACGCCGCGCGCGCACGCUUAGGCGUUAGACGUGCGUAGCGCGCGUGGCGAAAACACGAAACAUUUGUUCAUUCUGUCGCCCGUUUUUUAGAACAGACGACACACACCACGUCCUCGCAAUUCCUCCGAAUCGUGUAGCGUGUAACGUUUUUCUACGAUUUUAUUUUCACCGUGUCGCGUCGCAGACAUCCUUUGUAUAUCGAGCUGAUUUUUCUGUACAUAAAAAACGACAACAACAAUAACAGCAGGAACAACAACACGUGCGUCACACAGUUGUGUUAAACGAGAGAAAUAAAAUGUCUUAUUGAAGUUCGA